rnacentral:rRNA from 1 species
AUUGAACGCUGGCGGCAUGCCUUACACAUGCAAGUCGAACGAAAGCGCGGACUUCGGUCUGGCGGCGCGUGGCGGACGGGCGAGUAAUACAUCGGAACGUACCCUGCCGAGGGGGCUAACUAGACGACAGAUUACCUAAUACCGCAUACGACAUGAGGGUGAACGUGGGGGUCCGCAAGUCCACACGCAGCAGGCGCGCCCGAUGUCAGAUUAGCUAGUUGGUGGGGUAAAGGCCCACCAAGGCGACGAUCAGUAGCAGGUCUGAGAGGACGAUCAGCCACACUGGAACUGAGACACGGCCCAGACUCCUACGGGAGGCAGCAGUGGGGAAUUUUGGACAAUGGGGGAAACCCUGAUCCAGCAAUGCCGCGUGUGUGAAGAAGGCCUUCGGGUUGUAAAGCACUUUUGUCCGGAAAGAAAUCGCGCUGGUGAAUACCUGGCGGGGAUGACGGUACCUGAAGAAUAAGCACCGGCUAACUACGUG